rnacentral:rRNA from 1 species
GAUGAACGCUGGCGGCGUGCCUAAUACAUGCAAGUCGAGCGAACAGACGAGGAGCUUGCUCCUCUGACGUUAGCGGCGGACGGGUGAGUAACACGUGGAUAACCUACCUAUAAGACUGGGAUAACUUCGGGAAACCGGAGCUAAUACCGGAUAAUAUAUUGAACCGCAUGGUUCAAUAGUGAAAGACGGUUUUGCUGUCACUUAUAGAUGGAUCCGCGCCGCAUUAGCUAGUUGGUAAGGUAACGGCUUACCAAGGCAACGAUGCGUAGCCGACCUGAGAGGGUGAUCGGCCACACUGGAACUGAGACACGGUCCAGACUCCUACGGGAGGCAGCAGUAGGGAAUCUUCCGCAAUGGGCGAAAGCCUGACGGAGCAACGCCGCGUGAGUGAUGAAGGUCUUCGGAUCGUAGAACUCUGUUAUUAGGGAAGAACAAAUGUGUAAGUAACUAUGCACGUCUUGACGGUACCGAAUCAGAAAGCCACGGCUAACUACGU